UGGGGAAUUUUGGACAAUGGGCGAAAGCCUGAUCCAGCAAUGCCGCGUGUGUGAAGAAGGCCUUCGGGUUGUAAAGCACUUUUGUCCGGAAAGAAAUCCUUGGCUCUAAUACAGUCGGGGGAUGACGGUACCGGAAGAAUAAGCACCGGCUAACUACGUGCCAGCAGCCGCGGUAAUACGUAGGGUGCAAGCGUUAAUCGGAAUUACUGGGCGUAAAGCGUGCGCAGGCGGUUUGCUAAGACCGAUGUGAAAUCCCCGGGCUCAACCUGGGAACUGCAUUGGUGACUGGCAGGCUAGAGUAUGGCAGAGGGGGGUAGAAUUCCACGUGUAGCAGUGAAAUGCGUAGAGAUGUGGAGGAAUACCGAUGGCGAAGGCAGCCCCCUGGGCCAAAUACUGACGCUCAUGCACGAAAAGCGUGGGGGAGCAAAACAGGAUUAGAUACCCCUGGUAGUCCACGCCCCUAAAACGAUGUCAACUAGUUGUUGGGGAUUCAUUUCCUUAGUAACGUAGCUAACGCGUGAAGUUGACCGCCUGGGGAGUACGGUCGCAAGAUUAAAACUCAAAUGAAUUGACGGGGUCAUAGCUGUUUCCU
rnacentral:rRNA from 1 species